AAAUUGAAGAGUUUGAUCAUGGCUCAGAUUGAACGCUGGCGGCAGGCCUAACACAUGCAAGUCGAACGGUAACAGGAAGCAGCUUGCUGCUUCGCUGACGAGUGGCGGACGGGUGAGUAAUGUCUGGGAAGCUGCCUGAUGGAGGGGGAUAACUACUGGAAACGGUAGCUAAUACCGCAUAACGUCGAAAGACCAAAGAGGGGGACCUUCGGGCCUCUUGCCAUCGGAUGUGCCCAGAUGGGAUUAGCUUGUUGGUGGGGUAA
rnacentral:rRNA from 1 species